UGUGCUUCUCGCGUGUCAUCCGGUGGUUUUUCCGGCGGGUAUUCUUCGCCGGACUGUUGGGAAACCCGUUUGGCCGGUGAACAGGUAGCACGGUAAGAUCACAAGAGUGCCCGAGUUGCUGGCAUCGGCCUCGAUCACGUCGAGUGCCGUGAAUCCCCUCCGGUUUAUCACGUUCAGAUCGAGCCCGAGCUUGUCAAGCUUAAGCAGGUAAAACAGGUCAGAUGUCGAGUUUUUCGGUCAGAUUAGAUUUAGCGAGGAUCGGAUACCCGCGGAUUGCAGUGAGAGUUCGGGUACUCGGUUGCCCCGACUCAUAGAGGAAAGGAUGCGAGGAAUGAGAGGGAGUGUCGGGAGGAAAGAAUGUGGGGAAAAAGAAAGCGGGGAACCGUGGAAGAGGGCGAGAUUCGAAGGCCGAAGAGACACGCACCCGAGGGACGAGCGGAUUCCGUCGGGACCCUAUAUUUCGAUCUUUUUCGCAAAUCUUCGUAAUAAAACAACGAAAUAUCCAAAUUAAACAACAUUUUAACCCUGAUUCUAAAAAUCAGCGACCUUCCCCUCAUGUCUCGUUUGACGUCUUUCCCCUCUCCCGCGCUGCUUCGGGUACCCGCAGAACACAAAGCAAAUUUCCGACCAAAACCCGAACUCAAGCAAGAGAGUCGGAUUCUCGCCAGCUAACAAACUUAUAUUUGUCAUGUCAAAUGGACGAGCAACUAAAAUGUUAGAUAUCCAAAUGGCUGAACCUCGAGUAUUCCCCUAAUUUUCAUUUCGAAAGAUAAAAGGUUUUCGUUUGCA